rnacentral:rRNA from 1 species
UAUAGCCAUAAUACCCUGGACGUGCCUGAUCUCAUCUGAUCCAGGAAGCUAAGCGAAGGCAGGCCUGAUUAGUACUUGGAUGAGAGAAAGUUUUCUGAGGAAAUCCACAAGAGUGAGUGGAGCCAUCUCAAAAG